rnacentral:piRNA from 1 species
CACUUUCUUAGUGCUGCAGGUAGGU